rnacentral:rRNA from 1 species
GACGAACGCUGGCGGCGUGCUUAACACAUGCAAGUCGUACGGUAAGGCCCUUUCGGGGGUACACGAGUGGCGAACGGGUGAGUAACACGUGAGUAACCUGCCCACAACUUUGGGAUAACGCUAGGAAACUGGUGUUAAUACUGGAUAUGUGCUCCUGCUGCAUGGUGGGGGUUGGAAAGCUCCGGCGGUUGUGGAUGGACUCGCGGCCUAUCAGCUUGUUGGUGGGGUAGUGGCCUACCAAGGCGGCGACGGGUAGCCGGCCUGAGAGGGUGACCGGCCACAUUGGGACUGAGAUACGGCCCAGACUCCUACGGGAGGCAGCAGUGGGGAAUAUUGCACAAUGGGCGCAAGCCUGAUGCAGCAACGCCGCGUGCGGGAUGACGGCCUUCGGGUUGUAAACCGCUUUCAGCAGGGACGAAGCUUUUUGUGACGGUACCUGCAGAAGAAGCACCGGCUAACUACGUG